GUAGGGAAUCUUCCACAAUGGACGAAAGUCUGAUGGAGCAACGCCGCGUGAGUGAAGAAGGUCUUCGGAUCGUAAAACUCUGUUGUUAGAGAAGAACGUGCAUGAUAGUAACUGAUCAUGUAAUGACGGUAUCUAACCAGAAAGCCACGGCUAACUACGUGCCAGCAGCCGCGGUAAUACGUAGGUGGCAAGCGUUGUCCGGAUUUAUUGGGCGUAAAGGGAACGCAGGCGGUUUUUUAAGUCUGAUGUGAAAGCCUUCGGCUUAACCGAAGAAUAGCAUUGGAAACUGGAAGACUUGAGUGCAGAAGAGGAGAGUGGAAUUCCAUGUGUAGCGGUGAAAUGCGUAGAUAUAUGGAGGACCACCAGUGGCGAAAGCGGCUCUCUGGUCUGUAACUGACGCUGAGGUUCGAAAGCGUGGGUAGCAAACAGGAUUAGAAACCCUAGUAGUCC
rnacentral:rRNA from 1 species